AGUGAAUGGAGAAUACCGAUGUGAAAAUCCGAAUUUACAAAAUUAUUUAAGGAAGACAUUAGAGUUACUAUGUGAAUUCAGAGAAACUGAAUUCGAACAUUUGAGCAGACAGAAAAAUGAAAAGGCAAAUGAACUAGCUCAGUCGGCUUCAGGAUAUAGAGAGCCGAAGUCAGAGUCAAUAGUGAUACAGAGGAGGUUGCUACCUUUGGUUCAUGUACGAGAACCGAUUAUAGCUCCCAUAGAAACGAAGGAAGAUGAAGAAGAUGACAGAAAGAGGCGAAGAAGAGUUUUCGUUGGAGAAAACGAAAAGAGAUAAAAGAGAUAGAAGAGACAAAAAGAAUGAGAAGUUUGGGGAAGAAGAAAAGGUCGUCGUAUUGAACUGUCGCAUCGAAGCGAGUUCCGAGGUCGGCUAAAAUGAUGAAUAGACAGCGGCAAUUAAAAUGACCUAAUUAAUGCCGCAUGUAAGACAAAAUUAGAGAAUAUGAUCGGGGCCGUAAAAAAGAGAAUAGGUGGACAAGAUUAAACCAUACAGAAGAUUGUGUUACGAAUUGUGUCAGGUAUGUGUACAGGGAAUUUAAAUUUGAUUGGACCGAGGACUACGCCUCGGAUCGCGCUUGUUUUUGGCAACAGAAAAUGGGAUGGUUGAGAUGGAA
rnacentral:lncRNA from 1 species